CACCGCUGCAAGAGGGGAAGUUGCUACUGUGAUGAAUUCUGCCAUGUGGCACCAGACUGCCACCCAGACCACAGUGUCCUCUGCAACCCUGCUUCUCAGAUGACCAAGAUGGUGCUGCAGAUGGUGCUGAGGAUGGAGAACCCACCAAGCCCCGCUAGGAGCCACCUAGACUGGAUGCAGAGCAUGGACAAUUUGCUGAGGUCUGGGAGCACCCCCUCCAUAGAGUCCCUGAUCUCUCAAAACUUGGUCGUGAUCUAAAGUUUAUUUGAUGUACAACUCCCCCUCUCCUUCUUUUGGAGUUUUAUUUGCUUCCAAGAAGGAAGGCAAGAUUUCCUGGGUCCGUGAUGAUGGAAGGCUGACAACUCUUUUAUGGAGUUUGAGCUUGCUCCCAGCAGGGAAGACAAGUUCGAGUUUUUUUCCUGCUUCAAGGAUGGUAGAGAGCAGUCUUCAGCCUGAGACCCAUCCCUAGAGAAGGCUUCCAAUGACUCGAGCCCCUUUAAAGGAUCCGGAACAAAGGGGCCACUCACCCCUUCCAGGGUGCU
rnacentral:lncRNA from 10 species